UACGAAGGGGGCUAGCGUUGUUCGGAAUUACUGGGCGUAAAGAGCGCGCAGGCGGUCGUUCAAGUCGCGUGUGAAAGCCCCGGCUCAACUGGGAGGGUCACGCGAUACUGAUCGACUGGAAGGCAGGAGAGGGUAGUGGAAUUCCCGGUGUAGUGGUGAAAUGCGUAGAUAUCGGGAGGAACACCAGUGGCGAAGGCGACUACCUGGCCUGUUCUGACGCUGAGGCGCGAAAGCUAGGGAG
rnacentral:rRNA from 1 species